AGCAGUAGCCAACUGCCACUCUGCAACUGCCACUCUGCAACGGCUUCCCACACAUGCUCAAGCAUCGUGUGAUGGAAGAUUUAUCAUUUUCCUUUCAUAGUUAAGCCUUUGAUACAUUAGGAAUUUAUUUCCUGUCACGUGGGAUCCUACUUCAUUUCCUUUCUAAUCGAUAACAAGUGAUGUCAUUUUAUUUUAUUGAAGCAUUAUUCUUUCAGCCAAUGCAGAUACUAACAGCUCUGUAUGGUAAACUGCAGUGAAUUCUGGGAUGUGUAUCUAGCUCCUGUCUCUGACUCACCUCUUCCUUUCCUAUCACCACACUGCUUUGACAAUGAGUGGCUUGUGGUAUAUUUUAGCGUCAAUCGAGGCAAGGGCAGCCUUCCAAGUUUUCACUUUCUCAUCCUUCUGGAGUGCAGGUUCCUCUCUGUGAACUGUGAAGCCAUUGUGUUAGGAAGCUAAUGGCAGAAGGCCUGGAAUUGGGCUGAGUGGUUUCACAGAAAUAUGAGAUGAAUUUUCUUGGCACGGCCCCAAUCCUGAUGAGUGAUUCAGCUUCAGAGCUACAGUCCACAGAUGUCCCUUCUGUUCGUGUGUCACAGACCAAAUCAAAUUAGAUGGCCCUGCUGACUUCAAAAGGACAGGAAAAUGCUACCCUGAGGGGAGGGCAGUGGGAAGUUGAGGAAUAUUAAUAGGGGAGAUGACACACCUGUGGGCUGAGUCUAUUCCAGCUGCCAGGAGUCUUGAACUUCUUCCUUCACAGUCAGGAAGCUGAGAGUUCAAGAUCAAGGGAGCAGGUGUGCCCAGAUCUAAACACUCUCAUCCCUCACAAAUGUGCCUGAAGACUUGACUCCCAGGUGAACGUCGAAGUCCAAAGUCAGGCCUUUUUCCACACGGAGUCCACUUCAGUGGCGAAACUUACUGAGGAAUGUCUCACUGGAUCCACAUCUAAGCUUUGAAUCCAUAGCCAUCACAAUUCAUACAAUGGUAUGCUGCCUUUCCUUCAAAAAGAACUUUGGGGGCUGGGGUGAAGUGCUCAUUGUGCCAGCUGAACCAGCAUAAAUAAGAUCCUGAGUUUGAUCCCUAGAACCCGAGUAAAAAGCCAUGUGU
rnacentral:lncRNA from 1 species